rnacentral:ncRNA from 1 species
GUUUGGUCCUAGCCUUGCAAUCAAUUUUUACUUAAUUUACACAUGCAAGUAUCCGCGCCCCUGUGAAAACGCCCUUAAAUCCCCCAUAGGGAUGAGGAGCUGGUAUCAGGCACAUCUACAUUGCCCAAAACACCUAGCUACGCCACACCCACAAGGGACUUCAGCAGUGAUUAAAAUUGAAUAUCAGCGACAGCUUGAUUCAGUUAAAGUAAAUAGAGCCGGCUAAUCUGGUGCCAGCCGCCGCGGUUACACCACGUGGCUCAAAUUGACCAUUACCGGCGUAAAGAGUGAUUUAAGAGUCUUAAUAUUGGCGUCAAAUUUGCACUAAGCUGUGACACGCUUGUCCCCUAGAAGUCCCAUAAACGAAAGUUACUCCAACUAAACCAACUUGAACUCACGACAGCCAAGAAACAAACUGGGAUUAGAUACCCCACUAUGCUUGGCAGUAAACCUUAAAUUACACCAAAAUCGCCUGGGAACUACGAGCGAAGCUUAAAACCCAAAGGACUUGACGGUACCCCAAAUCCACCUAGAGGAGCCUGUCCUAUAAUCGAUAACCCCCGCUUUACCUCACCACUUCUAGCUUAUCAGCCUGUAUACCUCCGUCGUCAGCUUACCCCGUGAGCGAAAGAUAGUGAGCUUAAUGCCAUUCACCAACACGUCAGGUCAAGGUGCAACUUAUGAACUGGGAAGAGAUGCGCUACACUCCCUAUUUUAGGGCACACGAAAAACUACCCAUGAAAUUUAGUUUGAAGGCGGAUUUAGAAGUAAAAAGAAACCAGAAUGUUCUUUUUAACUCGGCACUGGGGUGCGUACACACCGCCCGUCACCCUCCUCAAAGUCUUAUUGAAGUUUUUAACUCCAUCAUGACAAACAGAAGAGGCAAGUCGUAACAUGGUAAGUAUACCGGAAGGUGUGCUUGGAACCACAGUAUAGCUUAAUACUCAAAGCACCCCGCUUACACCGGAUAGAUCUCUGUGAAACUCAGAUUAUUGUGAGCUAAUCCCCUAGCCCUAACCCACCCAAUGUUAACCCUUUAACCAUUCUCACCACCUAAAGCAUUUUAACAGUUUAGUAAAGGAGAUUAAAAAACUUUUAGGAGCUACAAAAAGAGUACCGCAAGGGAAAGAUGAAAUAAAAAUGAAACAAAUUUUAAGCAAAAAACAGUAAAGGAAACCCCUUGUACCUUUUGCAUCAUGGUUUAACUAGUCAAAUCAAGCAAAAAGGCCUUCAGUUUGACCCCCCGAAACUAAACGAGCUACUUUGAGGCAGCUUUCUGAGCCAACCCAUCUCUGUUACAAAAGAGUGGGACGACCCCUAAGUAGCGGUGACAGACCUACCGAGUUUAGUGAUAGCUGGUUGCUUGAGAAAAGGACCUAAGUCCAUGCUAAAUUGACUUUGAUACAAAAAAUCCCACCUUCAAUUUAGACUCAUUCAAGCAAGGUACAGCCUGCUUGAAAAAGGACACAACCUCCCCAUAUGGGUAAUUAAUACAACAUGUAUAUCUAAGUGGGCCUAAAAGCAGCCACCUUAAUUAAUAGCGUCAUAGCUUGAUUAUAAAUAAGCUUAAUCACAUCUAAUACACAAAACCCUACACCACUAUUAAGCAAUUCCAUAUUAUUAUGGAAAAUCUUAUGUUAAAACUAGUAACAAGAAGUCAUACUUCUCUUUAAUGCAAGCCCACAUCAGACUGGACCAACCACUGAUAAAUAACACCCUUAACCCUAAAGUAGUAACUAAACAAGAAAACCCUACCCCCCCCGGUGUUAACCUAACACAAGAGCAUUACAAGAAAGAUUAAAAGAAAAAGAAGGAACUCGGCAAACAUUGACCCCGCCUGUUUACCAAAAACAUCGCCUCUUGCCUCCCAUAAGAGGUCCAGCCUGCCCAGUGACAUUGUUCAACGGCCGCGGUAUCCUAACCGUGCGAAGGUAGCGUAAUCACUUGUUCUUUAAAUAAGGACUAGUAUGAAAGGCACCACGAGAGUCAUGCUGUCUCCUUUUUCUAAUCAGUGAAACUAAUCUCCCCGUGAAGAAGCGAGGAUAAAUAUAUAAGACGAGAAGACCCUAUGGAGCUUAAAACAAAUAACACCUGCCUGCCAAACUUCUAAUUUCAGAAAAACUUUCUACCCCGGCACCAUGAUUAUUAGUUUUCGGUUGGGGUGACCACGGAACAAAAAUCAACCUCCGCAAUGAAAGGCACUCAUCUACUUAGUCAAGGGCCACAACCCUACACAUCAACAAAUUGACACCAAUUGACCCAACAUGUUGAUCAAUGAACCAAGUUACCCUAGGGAUAACAGCGCAAUCCACUUCAAGAGCCCCUAUCGACAAGUGGGUUUACGACCUCGAUGUUGGAUCAGGGUGUCCUAGUGGUGCAGCCGCUACUAAAGGUUCGUUUGUUCAACGAUUAAAACCCU